CCAUCCUCGAAAUCAUUGUUAUGCUUGAGCCCAUUGUUGCAGCCACUGUAUCCAUCUCAACAUUCUCCAACUCUGAGGAAGAAGUGCAUCUGCACCGCUCUGGGCAGAUAGUCCAUUCUGUCCCAAAGCCGUCAGAGCAUGAUUCAAACGCAGCAACGCAGAUGACACUGUCUCCGAGAUGAACUUCUCACCUGGCGACUGAGGAUCCUCCAACUCACAGUCAGAUCUCGUCAGGCAAAAGACGUCGUUAAAAGGCUUGAUGUAAUUCUAAACCAUUCAUUAUCAAAGAUUUCAUUCUUUCCUCAAAAGUACCUCAAUUACAAAUAUUCCCCUGGACCACUCAACGAGAAAUGUUCCCUGGCUUUGGAGAUAUAUAAAAGAGAUCAUUGCGGUGAUGGAAUUGUUCUGACUCUUCACUGUGGCAAUGACUACACAAACCUACAGAUGUGAUAGAAUUGCCUGGAACUAAAUAUACACACAGUUAGCAAUAAAAAGUUCAUCUAUAACAGGAAUGACCUUCAUAAAAGGACUAGAAGCCCGGGAAGAGGAAGCCACAGCGACGUGACAGCUGCUCUGCUCUCUCAGCAGUGAUAAAGGCACAGCUCUGGGAAUUCCAGUUCAUUUGUAGUGAGUCACUAAGUACAAGGAUGAUA